rnacentral:rRNA from 1 species
AUUGAACGCUGGCGGCAGGCCUAACACAUGCAAGUCGAACGAGUGUCGGACGGGUGAGUAAUGUCUGGGUAUCUGCCUGGUGGAGGGGGAUAUCUUCUGGACCCUGUAGCUACUACCGCAUACCAUCACAUGUGCCCAGAUGGGAUUAGCUUGUUGGUGGGGUAACGUCUCACCAAGGCGACGAUCCCUAGCUGGUCUGAGAGGAUGACCAGGCAAACUGGAACUGAGACACGGGGCAGAGGGGUACGGGAGGCAGCAGUGGGGAAUAGUGCACAAGGGGGGAAAGGCGGAUGCAGGAAUGCGGAGUGUAUGAAGAAGGAGAAAGGGAGGGAAAGUACUGUAAGCGGGGAGGAGUUACACGAAGAAGAAGCAACGGCUAACAAGGUGCCAGCAGCCGCGGUAAUAG